CUUCAAGCUGAUGCAAACAAGGUCUGAAUCCGAGGCAGAAUUGGCCCAUUCCUACUGUAUGUGAAGUCACUUAUCUCAGAAUAUGCAGGAGAACUAAGUGUUCCUAUGCCCUUAUGACUCAACUUCUUAAUCCAAAGAUCUAGACUCCCAUCCUGUUCUUACCACCUGGAAGAGAGAAAUUUUCACCAGUUCCCUGUUGAUCCGUGAGAGGAACAGGACAGUUGUGUCGGACAACCCGGAAGAGAUAUUUGUGUUGCACACAACCUCGUACCAACCAUUGAGAUAACAAUCUUUCCCAAUGCCAAAUGGGAACGGAAUUGAGGUUCCUCCACAGGCUCUGUUACAAGUAGUUGACGAAUUACCAUUUGAAGGUGGAGACGUUGCUGCGGCCUGCGGGUGAGCCAUUGACGAGCUGCAGAGUUAGAACAGAGACUACAAAACAUAUGACGUUGCAAGUAUUUGUCUUCUUCAUACUUCUACAAUUUCUUUUAAAUAGUCUGGUAGAUAUUCUUUUAUCUUGUGUGUGUGACAAAAGUCCAGUGACGCGUUCAAAGAAACCCUAUUAUUAUCGUCGGAAGUCAACUCCGUGUGGAUCCUUUCAUCUCUCAAUUAUAUUUGCUUAUGUUUUGAAGUUUGACUUGA